AACGAACGCUGGCGGCAUGCCUAACACAUGCCAGUCGAACGAGACCUUCGGGUCCAGUGGCGCACGGGUGCGUAACGCGUGGGAACCUGCCCUUAGGUUCGGAAUAACUCCCCGAAAGGGGUGCUAAUACCGGAUAAUGUCUUCGGACCAAAGAUUUAUCGCCUUUGGAUGGGCCCGCGUUGGAUUAGCUAGUUGGUAGGGUAAAAGCCUACCAAGGCGACGAUCCAUAGCUGGUCUGAGAGGAUGAUCAGCCACACUGGGACUGAGACACGGCCCAGACUCCUACGGGAGGCAGCAGUGGGGAAUAUUGGACAAUGGGCGAAAGCCUGAUCCAGCAAUGCCGCGUGAGUGAUGAAGGCCUUAGGGUUGUAAAGCUCUUUUACCCGGGAUGAUAAUGACAGUACCGGGAGAAUAAGCUCCGGCUAACUCCGUG
rnacentral:rRNA from 1 species